rnacentral:snRNA from 1 species
AUGCUUGCCUUAGCAGCACAUGUACUAAAACUGAAACAAUACAGAGAAGAUUAGCUUGUCUCCUGCGCAAGGAUAACACGCACAUUGGUGAAGCAUUCCAUAUUUUG